rnacentral:rRNA from 1 species
CCUACGGGAGGCAGCAGUGAGGAAUAUUGGUCAAUGGACGAGAGUCUGAACCAGCCAAGUAGCGUGAAGGAUGACUGCCCUAUGGGUUGUAAACUUCUUUUAUAUGGGAAUAAAACGUUCCACGUGUGGGCUUUUGUAUGUACCGUAUGAAUCAGGAUCGGCUAACUCCGUGCCAGCAGCAGCGGUAAUACGGAGGAUCCGAGCGUUAUCCGGAUUUAUUGGGUUUAAAGGGAGCGUAGGUGGGUUGUUAAGUCAGUUGUGAAAGUUUGCGGCUCAACCGUAAAAUUGCAGUUGAAACUGGCAGUCUUGAGUACAGUAGAGGUGAGCGGAAUUCGUGGUGUAGCGGUGAAAUGCUUAGAUAUCACGAAGAACUCCGAUUGCGAAGGCAGCUCACUGGACUGCAACUGACACUGAGGCUCGAAAGUGUGGGUAUCAAACAGGAUUAGAUACCCGUGUAGUC